rnacentral:tRNA from 1 species
UAGCCUAGUGGUUAAGGCUACGGAUCGCCAAUCCGGAGACGACAGGUUCGAUUCCCGU